CCUACGGGGGGCAGCAGUGAGGAAUAUUGGUCAAUGGGAGAGAUCCUGAACCAGCCAAGCCGCGUGAGGGAAGACGGCCCUAUGGGUUGUAAACCUCUUUUGUCGGAGAACAAAACCCGGGACGUGUCCUGGACUGCGUGUAUCCGAAGAAAAAGCAUCGGCUAACUCCGUGCCAGCAGCCGCGGUAAUACGGAGGAUGCGAGCGUUAUCCGGAUUUAUUGGGUUUAAAGGGUGCGUAGGCGGUCCGUUAAGUCAGCGGGAAAAUUGCGGGGCUCAACCCCGUCGAGCCGUUGAAACUGGCAGACUUGAGUUGGCGAGAAGUACGCGGAAUGCGCGGUGUAGCGGUGAAAUGCAUAGAUAUCGCGCAGAACUCCGAUUGCGAAGGCAGCGUACCGGCGCCAGACUGACGCUGAGGCACGAAAGCGUGGGGAUCGAACAGGAUUAGAUACCCGGGUAGUC
rnacentral:rRNA from 1 species